AAAAGAACGAUGUUAAGCUUGAGAAAGUUCUAAAGGAAGCAGCUAUGGAAAACAAAACAAUAAUAUUAACAACUUUGAAUGCUGCCUGGGCUUCUCCUGGUUCUAUUAUAGAUUUGUUUUUUCAAAGUUUUCGGACAGGAGAUGGAACACGCAGACUCCUGGACCAUUUGGUAAUCAUUGCCUUGGACAAGAAAGCGUACAUAAGAUGAGAAGAUUUACAUGACUGCUGGAUAUUUGUCAAUGAUGUGGAGAAGGAUAGAAUUUCUGCGUGUUAUUCUCGAAAUGGGAUACAACUUUAUUUUCUCGUUUACAAAUCUCAAGUACUCCAGAGUUGAAAUUGAUGAAGUGCG